AGAGUUUGAUCCUGGCUCAGGACGAACGCUGGCGGCGCGCCUAACACAUGCAAGUCGAACGAGAGAUGAAGAGCUUGCUCUUCAAAUCGAGUGGCGAACGGGUGAGUAACGCGUGAGGAACCUGCCUCAAAGAGGGGGACAACAGUUGGAAACGACUGCUAAUACCGCAUAAGCCCACGGCUCGGCAUCGAGCAGAGGGAAAAGGAGUGAUCCGCUUUGAGAUGGCCUCGCGUCCGAUUAGCUAGUUGGUGAGGUAACGGCCCACCAAGGCGACGAUCGGUAGCCGGACUGAGAGGUUGAACGGCCACAUUGGGACUGAGACACGGCCCAGACUCCUACGGGAGGCAGCAGUGGGGAAUAUUGCACAAUGGGGGAAACCCUGAUGCAGCGACGCCGCGUGGAGGAAGAAGGUCUUCGGAUUGUAAACUCCUGUUGUUGAGGAAGAUAAUGACGGUACUCAACAAGGAAGUGACGGCUAACUACGUGCCAGCAGCCGCGGUAAAACGUAGGUCACAAGCGUUGUCCGGAAUUACUGGGUGUAAAGGGAGCGCAGGCGGGAGAACAAGUUGGAAGUGAAAUCCAUGGGCUCAACCCAUGAACUGCUUUCAAAACUGUUUUUCUUGAGUAGUGCAGAGGUAGGCGGAAUUCCCGGUGUAGCGGUGGAAUGCGUAGAUAUCGGGAGGAACACCAGUGGCGAAGGCGGCCUACUGGGCACCAACUGACGCUGAGGCUCGAAAGUGUGGGUAGCAAACAGGAUUAGAUACCCUGGUAGUCCACACCGUAAACGAUGAUUACUAGGUGUUGGAGGAUUGACCCCUUCAGUGCCGCAGUUAACACAAUAAGUAAUCCACCUGGGGAGUACGACCGCAAGGU
rnacentral:rRNA from 1 species